AAAGAGUUAGUUUAAUAAAAAAAACUUAAGUUUGUCAAAUUUAAAAUACUUAAUAAGUAUUCUUUU
rnacentral:tRNA from 1 species